rnacentral:tRNA from 1 species
GCAGAGGUGGUUCAAUAGUAGAAUUCCCAUCUUCCAUGUGGGGGACCCGGGUUUGAUUCCUGGCCAAAGCA